rnacentral:rRNA from 2 species
AGACCCGAAACCCGGUGAUCUAGCCAUGGGCAGGUUGAAGGUUGGGUAACACUAACUGGAGGACCGAACCGACUAAUGUUGAAAAAUUAGCGGAUGACCUGUGGCUGGGGGUGAAAGGCCAAUCAAACCGGGAGAUAGCUGGUUCUCCCCGAAAGCUAUUUAGGUAGCGCCUCGUGAAUUCAUCUCCGGGGGUAGAGCACUGUUUCGGCUAGGGGGCCAUCCCGGCUUACCAACCCGAUGCAAACUGCGAAUACCGGAGAAUGUUAUCACGGGAGACACACGGCGGGUGCUAACGUCCGUCGUGAAGAGGGAAACAACCCAGACCGCCAGCUAAGGUCCCAAAGUCAUGGUUAAGUGGGAAACGAUGUGGGAAGGCCCAGACAGCCAGGAUGUUGGCUUAGAAGCAGCCAUCAUUUAAAGAAAGCGUAAUAGCUCACUGGUCGAGUCGGCCUGCGCGGAAGAUGUAACGGGGCUAAACCAUGCACCGAAGCUGCGGCAGCGACGCUGAUGCGUUGUUGGGUAGGGGAGCGUUCUGUAAGCCUGUGAAGGUGU